GAAUUGCGAAAACUAAUGUGAAUCGCAUAACUUUGUGAAUCAUCGAGUCUUUGAACGCAUCUUGCACUCUCUGGUCCUCCAGAGAGUAUACCUGUUUGAGUAUCAAAAAUUCUACUCUCCCCCCUUCUUGGAAGUGCGGAGGAAUUGAGGCUUAGCGGCGGCGUGCUGCUGCUAUUCCUUUAAAUGCAGGCGCUUGCUGUAGGAACGGCCACCUUUCGCCGCCUAAAGUGUGAUAGUAAGCUCUGGCUUAUAGAUCGCGCUGGAACGCGGCAAAGAGGCUGCCUACGUAAAGGCGAGCGGCGCAAGAAAAGCAAAGGGCAGCUCUGGCUGCACUCUUUGAUCUUUGAUCUCAAAUCAGGUAGGACUACCCGCUGAACUUAA
rnacentral:misc_RNA from 1 species